rnacentral:lncRNA from 1 species
GCAUGAUAAAAAAUGACAGAGAAGACACUGAUGAAAGUCUGCAGCUUCAUCACUUUCUUCUGUGGACCGCAUUUGUUACUACUUAUUUGCCUUUUUAUUGUCAGGUUUGUAAGUUUAAUGAGUCAACUGGCAUUUUAGAAUUUGGAAAAUUUCUGAAAUUUUUUCAUACCACACAGGACUGGAGAAAAUCUCACGAGGCUUCCCACUCCCUCAUGACGUGAUGUUCCUCAAGCACUUUCUAAUAUUUCACAGGGUAAUGGAUGGGGAAGGAGUCUGGGAGAUCUCUGCUUUUGUAUUCCCAACCAACUACUGAAAUUCAAAUCUUUCUAUGCUGGGGCACUAUGUUGCUCAUCAUUUUUAAAGUCACUCUCUUGCGACAGAAUAUAUUUUUCAUAUAGUCUCUUUUACCCCAUAUCUCACUCCUGUCUCAUUAAUAGAUGCAAUCUAUACCUUCUAUUCUUGAAUCUAGGCAGGGGCAGAGUCUUCUCUGACCAAGAAAA